CAAGCCUAAACCAGCCAAGUAGCGUACAGGAUGACGGCCCUAAGGGUUGUAAACUGCUUUUAAACAGGAAUAAAGUUAGCCACGUGUGGUUAUUUGUAGGUACUGUAUGAAUAAGGACCGGCUAAUUCCGUGCCAGCAGCCGCGGUAAUACGGAAGGUCCAGGCGUUAUCCGGAUUUAUUGGGUUUAAAGGGAGCGUAGGCCGUCUGUUAAGCGUGUUGUGAAAUGUAGAUGCUCAACAUCUGAAUUGCAGCAAGAACUGGCAGACUUGAUUGUGAGAACGUAGGAAGAAUUCGUGGUGUGUGGUGAAAUGCUUAAAUAUCACGAAGAACUCCGAUUGCGAAGGCAGCUUACGGGAGCACAACUGACGCUGAAUCUCGAAAGUGCGGGUAUCUAACAGGAUUGAUACCCUGGUAGUCCGUCGGUAAACAAUGGAUGCCCGCUGUUGACCCACCUGGGCCAGCGGCCAAGCGAAAGCAUUAAGCAUCCCACC
rnacentral:rRNA from 1 species